GACCUAUUCUCAAACUUUAAAUGGGUAAGAACUCGGGGUUGCUUAAUUGAACCCUGCGGUCGAAUCUCGGUUGCUAGUGGGCCAGUCCGGGUAAGCUGGACUGGCGAUGCGGGAUGAUCCGAACGCUGAGUUAAAGUGCCUAACUGCUCGCUCACCUAGAUCCCACAAAAGGUGUUGGUUCAUCCAGACAGCAGGACGGUGGCCAUGGAAGUCGGAACCCGCU
rnacentral:rRNA from 13 species